AUUGAACGCUGGCGGCAUGCUUUACACAUGCAAGUCGAACGGCAGCACGGGGCAACCUGGUGGCGAGUGGCGAACGGGUGAGUAAUGCAUCGGAACGUGCCAUUGAGUGGGGGAUAACGUAGCGAAAGUUGCGCUAAUACCGCAUAUUCUGUGAGCAGGAAAGCAGGGGGACCGCAAGGCCUUGCGCUCUUUGAGCGGCCGAUGUCAGAUUAGCUAGUUGGUGAGGUAAAGGCUUACCAAGGCGACGAUCUGUAGCGGGUCUGAGAGGAUGAUCCGCCACACUGGAACUGAGACACGGUCCAGACUCCUACGGGAGGCAGCAGUGGGGAAUUUUGGACAAUGGGCGCAAGCCUGAUCCAGCCAUGCCGCGUGAGUGAAGAAGGCCUGGUGUAAG
rnacentral:rRNA from 1 species